UUCAUUAUUAAACCCUAAGUUUAAUUUCCUUAAAGACUUCUGUCGCUCACCCCUCUCCUGAUUAUUCUAUCUUCCACUCCCCGUCGAUGCCGCUCUGCCAAGUCCAGCCAUUCGACACCGCUCGUUUGCCAGAGCAACUCGAAGCCAGCAGUAAACUUUAACCCUAUCUCCCGAUUCUCAUACAGUUGUUCCCUGCCGGCCGUCGAUCAUCGACAAACCAAUCUUCCUCCUCCUUCUGAUCCAGCUCGCCGGUUGCUUCCUCCUGUUCACCCAACAAUGGUGCCAAAUAGGGAAAGGCAAGUAGAUUUUCCCUUGUAGGUGUAGGAGAUGGCACCAAGGGGGUGAUAGAGGAUGUGGAGGUGGAGUAACUGAGGAGAUAAGAUGGAAUGCAUAACACAUUGUCUAGGGGGCUUAAGAGCAUGUUAAUAACUGUAGUCUUUUGAUUGUUUUGUGGAUGUGAGUUGGAGACUAUUCGUUUUAUAUUUUCAUGUUUUAUCAUUUGGGAGUUUAAGAAAAUUUUCAUUCGAAAGAUA